rfam:Schistocephalus solidus strain NST_G2 genome assembly, scaffold: SSLN_scaffold0023403
GGCCUCGUAGCUCAGUUGGCUAGAGCAUUGGCUUAACUAAAGUCUUUCCCCUUGCUGGCGUGGUUUCGAAUCCCACCGAGGCCA